rnacentral:lncRNA from 1 species
UCUACUAUUAUUAUUAUGAUUGUUGUUGACUCUCAAUGGGUGUCGGUGCUACGUUGGCGCCCACGUUACGUCCACACUAUGUCUCCGCCAUCGAGUGAGCAGACGAAGUCCAGUAUCACCUGCGUCUCUAUGAUGAAGUGCCACCUUUCACUGUAGGACUAGGUAUUUGAUUGCGGUGACGUCACGUUUAGCUAGCCCGACGACAACUAGAUUGUAAAAAAGCGCUAACGGCAUAGGCUGUCACUGCAGCGACGGGAGCGGCGUCACCUCCGAUCACAAGCUGUGAGAGUGUGUACGUGUGCAUGUCGGUGUAAAUGUGUAGAGGAAAAGGUGACGACAGUGAUACGGACGUUAUUUAAUAAGUAGAGCACUGGGAAGAUCAAGGACGUCAAGGACGCUCAUUUCCAACGCAAGGUUGAGACUGCCGCGUAUAAACAUCCUUUAGGGCGAAGCAGUAUUUCUAAUCGAAGAUUGAGCUCGUGGUUCAUCUUUCUCCCCACUGAGGUGCGAUAACGGAAACGACUCAAUACCUAGAUGUGACCGUUGGCCGAGAUUUCACAGGAAGCACCUACAUCUACGAAGUGACACGUAACGCGACAAGGGUGAGCAAUGGUAAAAACACAUUGGCGCUAAUUACCUUUCAGUCGAGUGUACAUAGAACAUUGUAAAAAAAAGAUGAGGGAAACAUGUUUGAAUAUGCACGGCAGAAAGCUAGCAUUUCAUUCAUUGAAAACUAUGUCUUGCUUUAUAGUAAUGUGUACGUAUAUAAUGUAUAGAGCAUAGAAAUGAGUACAUGUCAACUUGGAAGUUAUUAACUUAAUCGUAGCCAUGUUAAGGAAUGGUGUAAUUAGCAAACAAAACUUCACCGCGAACCGUGAACGCUUGAAUUAACCUUUCCUUAAAAAUAAUUACAUUAUCUUUUUUUUGCUACAUAAUAGUGAAAUCUAGAAAAAACGAUCUAGUAUAAACACCGGAGAGUGCUGCCGAUCCGAAAUCGACAGCACUCUCGAGUGUUUAGCUAGAGCAUAUUAAUAAUGUAAUCUAUUAAAAAUAACAACGAGAAAGAACGAGUAAGAGUAGAAAUAUGACAUAAUGAUGAGGCUCAGCCUCACUCCAGACAAAAACUUACUAGAACUAAAUGCUUCUACGUUUAUGUAUUGCAAGGCUUUUGUGUGUGAGCAAGUUUGCCGUCAUAUAACGUACCCUAUUCGUUCCGAUCGAUAACACACGUUCUGCGAUAAGGUUCGUUCUAAUGUCCUGGUAGUAGGUUAGGCAAUUCUUGAAAUGACCACAACAGAUCGUGACAAAAUCAGAUUUAUUCUAAUUUAUCUAGCAUCCAAAAUGGAAAUCGCCCAGAUACUGCAGCUAGCUCAAGUGCACUAGUGCUAAACAUCAAAUAAGUACUACUAACUAACAUGGUGAAACAAAAAAGGCAUUCAUGGUACUUCUAUAAAACAAUACCCCACUAUAUAUAAAUUAAUAUUAUAAUAGGCGAAAAAUAUAUAAAUUAGCUUUACUUACUCGAGAGAGAUCAUUGGCAAAAGUGGCUCCUGCUAAACGAAUGUAUAUUUCAUGUCAACUUCAAGCCCAAAUAAAGUGAGUAACCGGACAUCUUUAUACUAUCAGUUAAUUAAACUGAAGACGUGAUGUCUAGUUGGCACAAUUCUCCUGCAUGGGACAUGAUCGUUACAUGCGUGAAGGUUCAAUGCACGAUGUCUCCGUGUCGACGUCAACGGCGCGGUUCCAAUAAGACCAAUACGAAUAUACAUGAACGAAUGUUCGGCGUAGCAUUUAAUGCGGACCUCAUGCCUCAACGUCGAAGUUAACAAUCCUGUGCGUGAUAAAGGUGUACACUGAUCGAAUUCGUCAGUUAUAUAAUCGAGUUACAAGCUAACACAAAAAUAGAACACUAUCGUCUCGCAUGCCACCGAUAUCACAGAUAGGCUGGGGACUGAUCUCAUUUAUAGCUAGCGCUAGUAUUCCUACAGGCUGAACUCUACAUACAGUAGACACUAAGCGUAGUGGUCGCUGCCAGUUGAAACAUAACGAACUGGGCAGGUUCUAUACUAUUUUCGUGUAGUCGAACGCCAUUGGUGCACCGAAUCGAAUUUCUGUAUUUAGUCCCUGAACAAGUAGCGUUAGGUAGAAACAAGGAUAACGUUUUCUACGUGCUAGCCAAAAGGGUUAGAUGACCAAUCUGAUUUCAUUUUGCAUCCUCAAUGGAAAGGCCCGAACUGCGCGCUAUGAUGCCGAUGCUGAAUUGAUACGAUGCGUUGGCCAUGAAAGACGA